rnacentral:tRNA from 1 species
CGCGGGGUGGAGCAGCCCGGUAGCUCGUCAGGCUCAUAACCUGAAGGUCACAGGUUCAAACUGUCCCCGCAACCA